rnacentral:lncRNA from 1 species
AAAGGAAAAGUGGAAUAAUAAUAUUAUUUAUUUCUUUUUCUCUCUCUCCCUUUUUCUCUCUUUUUCUCUCUCUCUUCUCUCUCCUCUCCCCUCCCCCUCGUGCGAAUUGCCCCCACCGCUCACUUUCUCUCUCUCUUUUAUUGACCAGUCAAUACUUAUCCCUCUUUUCUCUCUCUUCUCUCUCCUCUCUCUUCUUCCUUCCCGCACACGAUAGAACCAGCUUCUUCUUCUUCUUUCUUCGUGUGCGAACCAGAAGCCGAAGAAGAUCAGAAGCAGCGAGCAUCACCGCCAGACGAAGACAGUAGCCGCUCGUCCCGCCGCCGCACCGCCGCCCGCGCCGCGCCCGCGCGCUCGCCGCCGUUCCGCCAUCCGUGCACGCCCAGGCCGCGCGAACCAGCCGCUGUUCGCCCCUGUUCCGCACCGACCAGCCACCGUCCGACCACCUCCGGCCACCGCCUAGCCUCGCCGGACCUCCCCCGCAACCCCCUCACCUUUCGCCGGCCUUCCCUCGCCGUUUUGGCCGCCGGAUCUGCUCCGACCAGCCAAGGGCAGAAACCCACGAAAUGGGUUUCCAGCUGGUUCGGGCCCGUUUUGGGCCAUUUCUCGGCCCCGAAUCCGCGAGUCGCUUUGGGGAGUUUUGUUCCUCGCGUCGCCGCCGUCGGAUUGAUCCGACUUGCGCCCGAUUUGGUGAGUAAUCUCACUAAUCCUGGAUUAGUUGGCUAAUUAUGCUUAAGGUUGGUUUAGAUUUAAUUAAUUAUGUUUAGGUUGUUAGAUUAGAAUAAAUUAGCAAUUAUUAGUCAAUUGUGAUGCGAUUUAAAUAAAUUGAUUGGGUAAUUAGCAAGUAGACGUGAUCUACUAAUUAUUGGAAGUGCUUCGGGAUUUUUCCCGACCCUUAGUGGGCUCCAAUUAGGCUUUUCGGGCCUAAGUGGAUAUUUUUAGUAUUUAAUUAUUAAUUUUCGGAAUUGCAUUAAAUAAUUAUUUAUUUUCUGAAAAUUCAACUGAGAUGGCUCGGGACCGGAAUAUUGUGCUGAUGACUGUGGUGAAGUCCGUUUAUUUAAUCGGGCUUUAUUUUGUACUAAAUUGAAUUUUUAAAAUUAUUUAUUUAUUUAUUUAUUUUUCGGAAAUUAAGAUUUUGAUGGCCGACGACCGAAAUCUCGUGCCGAUCGUCGUGGCGCAGCCCAUUUAUUUAUUUGAGCUCUACGUUGUAUGGAAUUGAAUAAAUUGUGAUAUUUUAGGGAUUUACCCUAAAUUGAUUGGAAUCGAUUGAGAUUGAAUUAUCGAUUGGUGAAUGGCCAAGUAUGUUAUUCAGCAUUUAUAAUGUUUUGUUGAGUUGAUUUAAUUAUUUGAUUGAGAAAUAGUUGAGCAUUGGUUGUCGAUAUUGAAAGUGAAUUGGUAACCACUGCAAAGAGGACACGUGGCUCGGUGAAUUGGAAUAUCACCUGGAAAAUGCACGUGAGUUUAGUGGUUGAUUAUAUUGAAUUGUUUAUGUUGGCUAUGUGAUCAUUGUAUCACCACGGCGAAAAAGACGCCCGAGAGCAUAUUGAAUUGUUUACGUUGGCUCUGUGAUCUGUGUAUCACCUUGGCGAAAAAGACGCCCGAGAGCAUUGAUGGAGCUCUGUGACUAAGUGCGGGCAUCUAAAAGGGCACGUGGGCUCGGCGACUUGAUGCAUCGCUUUGGUGAAAUGCACCUGAGAGAAUGCACGUGGGCCCGGGCAUCUAAAAGGGCACGUGGGCUCGGCGACUUGAUGCAUCGUUUUGGUGAAAUGCACCUGAGAGAAUGCAUGUGGGCCCGGGCAUCUAAAAGGGCACGUGGGCUCGGUGACUUGAUGCAUCACUUUGGCGAAAAGGUCGCCUGAGAGAAUGCACGUGGGCCCAAGGUUCGAGGCACGUGGACUCGGAGACUUGGAAUGUCGUCCUAGAGAAUGCACGUGGCCUCGCUUUUAGAUACUCCUCUGUGGAGAGUGAUUUGUUUGACAUGUAAUCGACUAGGUCGAUGCUUUGAUUUGAUGUGAAUUGAUUGACUGAAUGGGAAUGACCGUGAGUGGUCUUGUUGGAAUAUAAUCGACUAGGUCGAUUUGAUCGAUGCUUCGAUCGGUGAUAUGAUUGCUUGGGUGCCUAUUAUGAAUUGUACUGACUUGCAGGUGGGAUCAGAGGCCAAGGUAAGUCCUCUGCCCUGUGCGUGUUUAGGCAGCCUUUAAUAUAUAAUAGUUUACUAAUCGGGCUUAGUGGGGUAGAACUCGCUGAGACGUAGUCUCAUCCCAGUUUGGGGAAAACCAUUUCAGGACCCCGCUGAAGAGCUGAGGAGGAGGAAUCCGAGGAGGAGAACUCGGAGGUGAGAUAUGAAGAGAAGGAUUUUUGGAAGAAGAAGAUAGUCCUGAGAGGGGCCUUGAGUACGGUCUGGAUGGAUUGAGAUCCUAUCUUAUUUUGAGAUCUCCUUUUUGAUGUGAAUAGUUAUGAAGUGAUUUAUGAUUUGUAUAAAAGUUUGGUUAUAAAUUUCAAUAUGAAAAAUAUGGCCCUGCUUUUCUAUCCCAUCGUUUUAUUGUCUGGGGUUUUUAACUGCUUCCGCAUGCGCUUAAUAAAUGAAAGGGUCGGCGAUACUAGUCCUGGGAUAUCGCAUUAUAAAAUCGACCAAGGGAGAAGGAUGUGUGCGUGCCCAAGGAUCGGGGCGUG